AUGGGCCUCUGGCGGGUGGUAUUCCAGUGAAGUUCCGGCACCCCGCCCCUACCCUCCUGAGGCCUCAGAGGAGUCCGUGGGUGGAAAGCAGUGUUCAUUGAAGAUGGCAAGAACACAGUCAGAGAAGCCCAUGAGGAUGACAGAAGCCCAACUCUCACUGAUCUGUGCUUCAUUGUUGUUGGCUUAACAGACACAUACAUGGCUGGCUUUGUGGGGAGCAGUGGGGUGCCAGUGGUGCUUGGAGGUUGUACUGACUGGUUCUGUGUGUCAACUUGACCCAAGCUGGAGUUAUCAC